UGCAAGGAAAUCUUGCUAAAGGUGGUGGCAAGGCAAUAUAUUAGUUCUCAAUUUCUAAAAAGAGUGUGCAAGGAAUAACAUAUACAAUGCGAAAGUGCUAAUGUGAUCACGAGCUGAGUGGUCUCGUUAUCUGUACCACAUGCGUCUCUCGUGAUGCGCGGAGGUGGUUCUGUCUUUCCAUCUGGAAUCUCCCGUCCAUAAUUUCUAUUAUGGCCCAUGGCCCACCAGCCGGACACAAUGAUGGAUACGCCGUCAGUCGACCGCACCACGGAACAGAAAUUCGGUGUCGCGAAUCAGAAAUUUGUCGACGAUGUGAGCCGGUUCCGAGGAGAUUCUGGACUAACCGAGGCACCUACUUCCAUUCAAUGCAAAUGCAUCUUCCCGUUGGAGGCAGCAAUCCCCCCUCCCCAAUCUUCUUAAUCCCCUCCACCUAGUCGAUUCCUCACCCAGAUCUGCAGCUACAUCCUAUCCAAUCCGAGCCAUUGCCAGCAACAUCUCCUUCCCAACCAUGUCCGCUUCAUCGUCAUCUGUAAGGUUAGGAUGGGAUCUUGCCCCUCGUUCCUUGUACAUAGUGCGGCGGGCAGGUCUACACCUGGAUUGCUCGAUCUGGAGUGAACGGUGGGCAUCGCUUCUACAAGUGUGUCAACAAGGAUAGGUGUGGAUACAUGAUAUCUUCUGAUUGCAGAUUGUCCAGCUGUCCUCGUGCCCAGCUGCUGGCUAACCAGCUGGUUGCAUAUUGCCAAGUUGUCCCCGCGCAUCUCCCGCUGGCAGCUUACUUGCACCGACGAGUUAUACCUGGCGAACCAAUCGAGCAAUGAAAGCGGGGAGGGGAGAUGGCGACAUAUGUCCGAGCGGAGCAGCUGCCAUGGAAGGGGAAGGAUCGGGCGUACCAGGCAGGUCUUCAUGGCAUGCACAAUGAUUGAUAAGAUAGUCUUAUCUUAAGUCUUGCACGUAAUUUAGAGAUGACAAAAGGAAAAGUCUACAAUGGGUCAUCUCUUAGCCUUAUCUUCAAUAACUAGCCAUUCCUAAAAAUGUGAUGAGACAUAUUGUGCUAAGAGAUCAUCUCUUUGUCUUCUCUUAAAUAAGAGAGACAAGCCUUUUCUUA